rnacentral:ncRNA from 1 species
CGAGAUCCAGUGAAAGGGCCCAGUAGUUAAGGACCCGCCUAGUCAGAGAGGAGACACCGCGGCUGAAAGUGUCUCUCUAGCGCACCCUUGAUGAAUGACACCCUGGAGGACCCCCUGCGAAACGCUUGCCGGCAAGCGCGGUAGCAGGGCGGCGUGACCGGACGUUACCCGGCGAGUGGAAGCUGGCUUUGUGCAGCUUCAAAUAGGGUGGUACCACGGGAAGUCACAGCUCUCGUCCCUAAG